UUGCACGCUGGCGGCAUGCUUUACACAUGCAAGUCGAACGGCAGCGCGGGCUUCGGCCUGGCGGCGAGUGGCGAACGGGUGAGUAAUGCAUCGGAACGUGCCCAGUAGUGGGGGAUAGCCCGGCGAAAGCCGGAUUAAUACCGCAUACGACCUGAGGGUGAAAGCGGGGGACCGAAAGGCCUCGCGCUAUUGGAGCGGCCGAUGUCGGAUUAGCUAGUUGGUGGGGUAAAGGCUUACCAAGGCGACGAUCCGUAGCUGGUCUGAGAGGACGACCAGCCACACUGGGACUGAGACACGGCCCAGACUCCUACGGGAGGCAGCAGUGGGGAAUUUUGGACAAUGGGGGCAACCCUGAUCCAGCCAUGCCGCGUGCGGGAAGAAGGCCUUCGGGUUGUAAACCGCUUUUGUUCGGGAAGAAAUCCUCUGGGCUAAUACCCCGGGGGGAUGACGGUACCGGAAGAAUAAGCACCGGCUAACUACGUG
rnacentral:rRNA from 1 species